CGGGCGGGCGGGCGGGCGAGGGUCUGUCUGCCCCGAGCCCUGGGCCAGGGUGCCGGCAGCUCGUGCCCACGGGCCGGGCUCGGUUGUAGGGGUCCGAGGCUGGCCCAGCCCGGGCUCGGUGUCCCAGCGCAGCACCAAGUGCUGACAGCUGAGCAGGGGUCAGAGCAAGCCCCGGGCGCUCGGGCCUCCCGGCUGCAUUGAGCCCGUGCUGGAGGCUGUGGUGCCAGCCUGACUCGGGGUGCUGGAAAGCAGAGGCUCAGCCCCCUGCAGCACCAGGCAGUGCCCGGUUGGCCCGCACGCCCCACACCCCAUGGGCUCCCCGGACACACACAGCCCCCAGCCCCUCCACCCCGUGCACACAGCCGCAGGCCUGGCUCAGCUCUGGGCCUCAUGCCCUCACCUCCCACCUGGGCCGUGCAGCAGCCCCACGGGCGCUGCAGCCCCGUGCCCGCCCCCGGGAUGCUCCGGUGGCUCCGGCCCGGGCCUCACAGCACCAGGGUUCGACUGCAUACCUGACGACCUGGGCACCACGCUGCCAGCAGUGGCUGAAGAGCUUCUCCGAGAGAUAAAGAAGGCUUUCCAGGAGACUGCGCAGGUCCCUGAUGAACUCCUGCUGGCGACUGAGUCCGUCAGCUCGGCCCGUGGCCAGUCAGACCGGCACAGAAAUCCACGGCAGCUGCACUGCCGAGAUGCUGGACUUGGGCUCGACCUCUCGUUCCCAGCCUUCUUCCCAGAGCAGAGGGGGCACGUCUGCUUCCUCCUGUCCUCAUUGUUUGCCCAGAGCGGCUCUCCUGGCUGUCUCCUGUUUGCCUUUGUCACUAAUUCAGGCUUUGGGGAAUUUUCCCCGGGGAUGAAAGGACCCCAAAGCUUCUGCCUCACCCUUGAGCUCCUUGGAACGGGUUCCCAGGCAUGCAGGAAGAGCAUGUCUAGCAGCACACCUACGCCUAGGAGCUGCCUGGACAAUAGGUGCCAGGUUCAGGUGUCCAGCCUCCCCCCAAGCAGGUUAUCAGGUAUCCCUACGUGACUCGCAGCAGCAGGGGCAGUGCAAAGCAGCCUUGCUGGGAGAGACUCACGUUCGAGUCAUUUCUUAGCCUGACCAUUGACCUGGGAGGCCUCAAGUCCCAGCAGCUCUGGCCCGUAACUCAGGCUCAAGUUUGUGUUCGGCCCAAUUGCUGUCCCAGCCUUGGACCUGGUGGACCAGCGCUCGGUGACCCGCGUCGUGUCCCCCAGCGGAC